CUUAGGGGGGAGCAGCAGCAAGGAAUUUUCCCCAAUGGGCGCAAGCCUGAGGGAGCAACGCCGCGUGGAGGACGACGGCCUUCGGGUGGUAAACUCCUUUCGGGGGGGACGAUGAUGACGGUACCCCCAGAAGCAGCCCCGGCUAAUUCUGUGCCAGCAGCCGCGGUAAGACAGAGGGGGCAAGCGUUUUCCGGAGUUACUGGGCGUAAAGGGCGCGGAGGCGUUGUGUUGCUUCGGCGCUGAAAGCCCCCCGUUUACCGGGGGGAGGCGCGCCGAUACGAGCAGGCUGGAGGCGAGCAGAGGGCGGCGAAAUUCCGGGUGGAGGGGUGAAAUGGGUAGAGAUCGGGAGGAACCCCAGUGGAGCACUCGGCCGCUGGGCCUCGACCUGACGUUGGGGCGGGACAGCGUGGGGAGCAACCCGGAUUAAUUCCCCGGGUAGUCCACCCGGUAAACGAUGCCGCUUGGGCGUUGGGCGCGCUCGAGCGCCCUGGGCGCCUUAGCUCACGCGGUAAGCCGUCCGCCUGACACA
rnacentral:rRNA from 1 species